rnacentral:rRNA from 1 species
AACGCUGCGCGGCGUGCUUAACACAUGCAAGUCGAGCGGUAAGGCCCUUUCGGGGGUACACGAGCGGCGAACGGGUGAGUAACACGUGGGCGACCUGCCCUCAGCUCUGGGAUAAGCCUGGGAAACUGGGUCUAAUACCGGAUAUGACCUUUCCUCAGCAUGGGGUUGGGUGGAAAGUUUUUUCGGCUGGGGAUGGGCCCGCGGCCUAUCAGCUUGUUGGUGGGGUGAUGGCCUACCAAGGCGACACGGGUAGCCGGCCUGAGAGGGCGACCGGCCACACUGGGACUGAGACACGGCCCAGACUCCUACGGGAGGCAGCAGUGGGGAAUAUUGCGCAAUGGGCGGAAGCCUGACGCAGCGACCCGCGUGGGGGAUGACGCGGCCUUCGGGUUGUAAACCUACUUUCGACCCUGACGAAGCGUGAGUUGACGGUAGGGUGUAGAAGAAGCACCGGCCAACUACGUG